rnacentral:lncRNA from 1 species
GGGCAGUGGAGUGGGGAUGUCCACAUUCCGCUUGGCGUGCUUUGCCACCCCUUCUCUCACCCUCGUCAGUGAGCCAGGCUUCUUGACAAAAAGGUGGCACCAGGUUUUCCCCAGCAGGAGCCCAGGAGCUCAGGAAGGUCGUGCUGCCCGGGGACGCCCGAGGACGGACAGCCAGCCAGGAUACCUCCUCAUGGCCACCACCCCUAUGAGAUCACACCGCCGGAGCCACCCGGGGCCUUGGCACCAGAUCACAGUCUUCCUUCUCCCAAACGCCUGCAUGUCCCGGGGGGAUGUCGGCAUCCUCGUGAGUGACACAAUCCUCACCCACCCCUCGUGUGCGUCCCACGCCUUUUCAGAGCCAAUGGCCAUCACUGCUGCUCCAUGCUGCACUCCGACCCUCACUUUUAUCCCAAAUGUUGAGGAUUCCCCGAGCCGGCUGACCAUCAGUGCCAUCUGGGGAGCUUCCAAGCACGGAUUCCCAGGUCCCACAGGCUCUAGAAAUGAGACCCCAGAACUGGGUCUGGCUUCCUGGUGGUUGGCCAGGUUGGGGACCUCUGGAACUUGUCAUCCUCUGUUGUGGUUCUCUUUGGAAUUCAGCCUGACAGUAGCCUCCCCGGGCCACAGCCUGCCACCUCCAGGCCCCUGCCUCACUGUCCCUGAGUGUCCUCAUCAAGUCACGGAGGUCCCAGGCCUCUGUCUCCCUCCUGCCCACCAGCUUCCUCCUGUCUCAGUCUAGAACAGGAGCCACACUUCGAUGCUCGCGCCCCUACCCUCAUCCCUGGCCCCUGCU